rnacentral:lncRNA from 10 species
AUUAUAUCUGAUUUUGCUUAUUAAUAAAACAUCAUUAAUGACAGUGGAUGUCAAUUUUCAAUGGACAAUUUCUUUUGCCACUGCCUUCUUAUCAGCGUUUAUUGUUUUAUUGUUUUAAUGUGUCAGACAUGGAGCUCCUUGAAGGAACUGAGGGAGUACCAGCUCUGUCAUUUUCUGGUUAUCUUCUCGAACUUGUACUUUUUUUUUCUUUCUUUCUUUUUGAGACAGUGUCUUGCUCUUGUUGCCCAAGCUGGAGUACAAUGGCGUGAUCUCGGCUCACUGCAAUCUCUGCCUCCUGGGUUCAAACAAUUCUCCUGCUUCAGCCUUCUGAGUAGCUGGAAUUACAGGCACCUGCCACCACUCCCAGCUAAUUUUUUGUAUUUUUAGUAGAGACAGGGUUUUGCCAUGUUGACCAGGCUGGUCUCGAACUCCCGACCUCAGGUGAUCCACCCGCCUCGGCCUCCCAAGAACUUGGGUACAUUUUUAGUACCAAAUCAAUUCACAGUUUCUUUUGCAGAAGUUCUUUCAAGCCACUUGCUUAUUUUGUAAGUUGUUUUUGAAGACAAAAUGAUGUCAUUCACAAAUCAUCGUAGUACAUACUGGGCAAAAAAGGGAGGCACCGCAUCAACCUUUCCACACUGUGGACUUCCCAUUCUGUCCCAGGAGACAAAGGACACCUUUUUCUGCAUGGUGCAUGAGCUGGAACUUAUAAUAUUGAUGUGCUUAUAAACAUCCUUCAUCAGACCCAAGGUUUGAAUUUGAGUGUGUGUACUUGGCUCCUGGAAGUAAUUAGCCAAUGGGCACACUGUCAUCUUGGGUCAUUUCAUCCCCACAGGAGGGACUGAGCCACUGAUGUAAAAGAAGAUGUAGCCUGAACUCAUUUGAUUAUUUUAAAAUCUUGUUUUUCCAUUACAAAUAGAAAGAGACAAUAGAACCAGAAGGAAUUCAGCUAAGGAAACAUUCAGUGUUUAUAUGACCCAUUUGCAUGAUAAUGGAGUAACAUUUAUGACAAUGGCCAAAGGAGGGUCCUUCCAAAAGGAAAAGAUCUGAGAAAAACAAUUUCCAUACACAGAGUACCAAGCAAGAGAGGGCAUAAAACCAGGAGUUCAAGCCCCCUGAAGAUAUAAAUUUUGUGAGAUAAGUAGGUGUGUGAAGAAGCUAAAACUAUUUUAUUUCUUUUGUUACACAUUUGAUUUGUGUUAAGAACAAUCGGUACUCUCACAUAAUUAAAGCAGUUCUGACGUUUUGGUGUGUUUGAUUUUUUGGGCUAUGCACAGAGUGUUCCUACUGUCUUUGUUAAUAUAUUUUGAAUAAAGAUGGCUUUUAUAUUCGUUUUGACCUUGUGAUACUACCUUGAUUGGAAC